rnacentral:rRNA from 1 species
GACGGAGGGUGCUAGCGUUGUUCGGAAUGACUGGGCGUAAAGGGCGCGUAGGCGGCCGCUUGCGUCGGAUGUGAAAGCCCGGGGCUCAACCCCGGAACGGCAUCCGAUACGGGGCGGCUCGAGACCGGGAGAGGUGAGUGGAAUACCCAGUGUAGAGGUGAAAUUCGUAGAUAUUGGGUGGAACACCGGUGGCGAAAGCGGCUCACUGGCCCGGUUCUGACGCUGAGGCGCGAAAGCGUGGGGAGCAAACAGG